GAUGAACGCUGGCGGCGUGCCUAAUACAUGCAAGUCGAGCGAACGGACGAGAAGCUUGCUUCUCUGAUGUUAGCGGCGGACGGGUGAGUAACACGUGGAUAACCUACCUAUAAGACUGGGAUAACUUCGGGAAACCGGAGCUAAUACCGGAUAAUAUUUUGAACCGCAUGGUUCAAAAGUGAAAGACGGUCUUGCUGUCACUUAUAGAUGGAUCCGCGCCGCAUUAGCUAGUUGGUAAGGUAACGGCUUACCAAGGCAACGAUGCAUAGCCGACCUGAGAGGGUGAUCGGCCACACUGGAACUGAGACACGGUCCAGACUCCUACGGGAGGCAGCAGUAGGGAAUCUUCCGCAAUGGGCGAAAGCCUGACGGAGCAACGCCGCGUGAGUGAUGAAGGUCUUCGGAUCGUAAAACGCUGUUAUUAGGGAAGAACAUAUGUGUAAGUAACUGUGCACAUCUUGACGGUACCUAAUCAGAAAGCCACGGCUAACUACGU
rnacentral:rRNA from 1 species